UUCACAUCCCGCCCUUGUUUUCCAUUUGAUGCAUGCUAGUAAUUUUACUCCUUCAAGUGUAUUCGUCGAAUCACUAUAUGCAGAUGGCUCCAACUUCCUGUAAUCUGAUAUAUAAGUAAAGCUAGUAAACUAAUACAAUGUAUACAUUCAACAACAAAAUUUUAAAAGACAAACAUAAUUCAAAACCUUAGCCUCAUCUCUCUCUCUUCUUUUUCGAGCCGUCGUCGGAGAUUUCAUCGAUUUUCACCGAUGAAAAGCUACGAAUCAGCUUAUUUCUCUUGAUUUGUUCUUGUUUUCUCAAUAAUACUCCCUACCGGAUCCGUUUCAAGAUUUAGAUCUACUCGAUUUUCAAGAUUUUGAUUUGGUGAUAAAUCAAUUGAGAUGAGUCGAUGACGAGAGCGACUGCGAUUCAAUCUUAGCCAUAGUAGUGAUUACAUAUAUUUAUAUUCGAUAAGGUAAGGAUCCUGUACGUCAAGCCAGGUGAAUCAUGCAUCAGAGCAGUGACAGAUGGGAAGGGAGUCACUUAUAUAUAUUCUCAACAAUGUUCUGGACCAGCUGCCUUUAAAUAAUUUCCAAUAAAUAAUUUUACUCCUUCAAGUGUGUUGAAAUAGAAGUCAUGUUUACACUGUUACUAUACCACAAGCAGCUGCUGUACACUAGCUUAGCUUAGUCACCUACAUAUAGCUUGUAAUAGUCAUAGUUGGUUAGGAGUUGUACACGUUCUAUUUACUUUCUUGUCUGUACUAGUUCCUAUAAAUUCCUCGUCCUAUUCUCAUGUAACCACAAUAUAGCAAUAUACAAAUUCUGUACUACUUUGCACUACUGCCUCCGCUCUCAACUUAUUCAUUCUUUCUGUUAUACACAUAUAUACACACACAUCAGUAUAUAUAUACACAUAACACAUAAGUUUCUACAUGGUAUCAGAGCUUUAAGCUCCUUACCUCCGCGUUUUAUUCUGCUGUAAUCAUCGUUCCCGGUGACAAACUCUCUCGGCCAUUAAACCAAACAGUUGGCGCAACCCAGUUUCUGACGAGUCAAC
rnacentral:lncRNA from 1 species